AAAUAGUUCCAAUCAACCCAAGACAAAAAUAUACAAAUUGAAAAUAAUCACAAAUCACAAAUAAUAAUCUUUCUUUAGGUUAGCUUUUUGAAUACAACCACCACAAAAUAAAGACAACCACACGUCAAACAGCAAUAUUUUUAAGAAGAAGAAGCGAUAUUUUUAAGGGAGAGAUUAAAUGUCCAGCAAACGAGGGAGAGAUUAAGGCCCGUCGAGUCUCAAGACAGCGUCGAUGCUCAAGACCGACCUUGAACCAACUUUGUGUUUUAUAAACCGAUCUCGAGACACGACGUUGUCUUGGGAAGUGUAAAAUGACAGGCGAAUCUCAAGUCAUCGAUCGACCUUCCUCAAGACCGCGAUUCUAACCUAACUUUGUUUGUUAUUGUUUGAAUUUUGAAUAUUUUAAAUUCAGUUCCAACAUAUAUUUUUUGUUUUUCUAAUUACAACAAAAAUGUAUGAAGAAGUAAAAGCAUUUUUAGAGUUUAUUGAUAAUAUUGGAGAAGAAAAUCGCCCGGGAAGUAUACAAAAGCGAUAUAUUCAAGAUAAAAAUAUAAUCUAAAAUACAAUGGAGUAUUACAAUAUUGAAGUUCAUCAGCGAAUCAGCGCAUUAACUUAAACAAUAAAGGUUUUAUGCUACUUAUAGGAAUAUAACCAGUUUUUAUGAGGACCCCGCUUUCCAAAAAUGUACAGGUACUAGAAGAGAAAUUAUGUGUAUUAUUGUUCAACAACAAGGUUAUCAAGUCAUUCAAUAUUUGAUCUAAGAGCAUUAAGAGUGAAAUUGUGAAAUGGAAAGAAGUGAAAUUCCAGGAUUAUUAAUAGGAAUAGAUGACAGUAGUGGGUAUGCAUGCAGACACUAUCUACUUACCCCAGUAUUACACCCAGGUAAUGAUCAAGAAAAUAAGAUUUUUACCAUAGUACUCAUGUGAGAACAAGAAAUGUAGAAAAGCUAUUUGGAACCUGGAAAAGAGUUUCCUUGUCUUCAACAAGGUCUACAAACCAAAUUAUAUACAUGUCUUGCAAUAAUAUGUGCUACAGCAGUACCUUACAAUCUAGGUAAAUAAUGAUCUGGUGGUAAAUAGACAUGUUAAUGAUGUGGAACAAUUUCUAAAUUUUUGGUGACAUUUUUUUCAACAAUAUUUUGCAUGAGAAUACAUUAUUGAAUACCUACUCUUAUUGUGUUUGAUUUUUUUGUCUAUUAUUUCUCAAAAUAUCAUGAUCAUUGCUCGACAGCCCUUUUUGUUUGAGUUUUGGUCUCUUGAGGAAUACAGCUCCAUUCCAAUCUAUUUCAGGAUUUGUUCUUGCAAUUUUUUAUUUUUAAAAUAUCAAUGUCUUAUUCUGUUUGUUCCUUAUAUCUAAUCUAUAGUCUUUCUCUCGUUAUAUGUCCAGCUGACAUUUGUGUGUUUAUUUUGGAAAGUAUUUCAUAUGCUUCCAUCCUUCCUCUUAGAACGUGGUCCUAUUUUGAUGAAUGCAUAUGGAUCGUGGUAUGCCCUGUAUAGUUCAAAAUUAUAUUUCAUAUGCUUCUAUCCUUCCUCUUAGAACGUGGUCCUAUUUUGAUGAAUGUAUAUGGAUCGUGGUAUGCCCUGUAUAGUUCAAAAUUAUAUUUCAUAUGCUUCCAUCUUUCCUCUUAGAACGUGGUCCUAUUUUGAUGAAUGUAUAUGAAUCGUGGUAUGCCCUGUAUAGUUCAAAAUUAUAUCUUCUCUGGUCUUCAUAUUUUAGAUGCUAUUUAGCCUGAUUCUAGUGCUUUAUCGUUGUUUCCAGUGCUUUAUCAAUUUAUCAUCAUUUAUUUUACCUACCUGUCUACUGCUACUCUACUAUUGUACUUUCACCAUAUAUUUUUGGAAUAUAAAUAUACCUUCUGUCUUUCUCUUGUUCAACUGGAAUUUGUUUAUUUAUUCUGAGAAUACAUUAUUGAAUCUGUAUUAUGUUAGAUAUAUUAUUUUUUAUUUUAUUUCUUAAUAUGUAUUUUUUAUAUUUUAUUUUAAAAUAAAUGAGUAUGAGUUUCCCUCUUCUUAAAUAA
rnacentral:lncRNA from 1 species